AUCUAUACUGCAGCUCAUGGCAGCACUGGAUCCUAGACCCACUGAGCAAGGACAGGAACUGAACCUGCAUCCUUAGGGAUACUAGUCAGAUUCGUUUCCACUGUGCCGUAACAGGAACUCCUCCUUAAUGAAUUUAAAAGUUUUGAUGCCUUAAUGAUAAAGACAUUUGUAUUUUGCUUCAUUCUACACUUUAAAUAUGACCCUCGUUUUUUCCUUCUGUACUUGUGUAUUUUUUUUCCAUGUAAUUGGAUGAUUCUAAGUAUAGCUUAUUUUUAGACAGAAUGAAGACAAAUGCUUAAAACUAUAAUUAAAAUAAAAUGUUUUGUAAAUCUCUGCCCUGAAUUCAGUAUUACCUCAUUUAUAUUGAACAUGGCUUUUGGUAAGCUUAUGGAAAUUCAACCACUUCUUUGUAGUUUUUUUUUUUUUUCCCCCUCAUGUUUUUUUCACUCGGCUUUAAGAGUAAAGGGAAUCUUACCAGUAUAGCUCGUUUCUAGAAAGGAGAAAGUUGAUAUUUCUUUUGAAGCUUUCCCAGAGGACAAUCUUGCUUUUAGCCUAGCAACAUGUGCAACAAUUGGGUAGUUUCAUGGCGUGGGAGCAUCCUGUUGUCCAUGAAUAACUGAGUGAAUUUGAAAUGACAGUAUUUUGGAAUCAGAUCUUACGUGUGGGAAUUUGUCUAAAAGUCACCAUCACAUGUACAGCAGCCCCCAGCCCUUUAUUGAAAUAAACAAUGGUUAUGCUUCUAAAGUUUUCCACUGAUAUCCCUUCUCAUCUAGUAGAUUCAGCCUAUUAAAGAGUGGCCUUAAAGACCCAUGUAUAAUUAUAGGAUAUGAGCAGUUAUUUUAAUGACCAUGUAAUUCAUAUCAUGAAGAUAUAGCAUAUCUAAAGCAGCCUUCAAUUAAUUAGAAGAGGCUGUUUAAUCUACAUGUAUAAAAAUUUCAAUUAAAACAUCUUUGCUAAACUUCUUGUCCAAUUUUAUUGUAUUUUAUACGGUUCCAUUGAUUGGAACAUCCUUGAGAAUAGUUAUUGCUUUGGAAUGGUGAAGUAUUGAUUAAGCAUUUACUGUGUGUCAGGCAUGUGCUAAGUAUUUUGUAUGUAUUAUUUUUUAUUUAAUCCUCACAACAACUUGUGAAGAUAGGUGGUGUCCCUGGUUUGCAUUGGUUUACAGCUGUGCAGUCUUCCCUGGACCUCAGUUCUCUAUCCUGGGUUUAGUAUUACCUGCCUCAGUGUGCUAUGAGGAUUAUGCACACUUUGAAGUAAGUAUUCAAUAAACGAUAGCUGCUAUUCUUGUUCUUCUCAUUUUUGAUUUCAUGUUUUAAACAAGUAAUGUUUCUUGUGGUUCAAAAAUUUGAAAGGUAUUACACAGUGAAAAAUCUCUCUUCCUUCUGUUCACUCAUCUAGUGCUUACUAUACCCGUUUUACUGUUUUGCUAUAGGUCUUUCAGGGUAUCCAUAUGCUCUUUUUUUUUUUUCCACCUUUUACACAAAAUGUAAUAUUUUGAAACUAUUAACACUGUUUCAGAGCUUGCUUUUUUUACUUAAUGUAACUUGGCAGUCUUUCUGUAUUUAGUGCCCAGGUAUUUUUCCUUUUUUCCUACUGUUGCAUAAUAUUCCCUUGUUUGGAAAUAUAUAUGAUAAUUUAUUUAGCCAAUUCCCUCUUAAUAGAGACUUGAGUUGUUUCUAAUAUUUUGCUAUUAUAAACAAUGCAGCAGUGAAUCAUCUUGUACCGAGGUCAUUUUGCAUGUGUGCAAUUAUAUAUGUAGGAUGAAUUCCAAGAAGCAGAAUUGCUAGGUCAAAGGGAAUAUGCAUUUGUAAUUUUUGUAAGUAUUGCCAAAUUGUCCUUCAUAGGGAUUGUGCCAGUUACACAGCUACCAGCAAUAUGUGAGAAUGCAUGUUUCCUCACAGCUUCACCACAGAAUUUAUCAAAUAUUUGGAUUUUUGCCAAUCUAAUAGGUGAAAAGUUAAUCUGUCAUUUUAAUUUGCAUUUCCCUUAUGAGUGAGUUUGAGCUUUUCAUUUGCUGAAGAACCUUGGCGGUUUUGUGAACUUCUCAGAUAUAUUGGAUUCUUGAUCAAUUUCUUUAUUUUCUAGGAGUUCUUUAUGUGUUAAGGGAGAUUAGUACAGUUUCUUGUGUAUCUUUUGACUUUGUGGAUUUUGAUUAAAAUUGGACCAAGUUUGUAGAUCAAUUUGGGAGAGUUGAUAUCGUUACCAUUUUGAACAUGAUGUAGCUCUCCAUUUAUUUAAAUGAUAUAAAAUGUUCUUCAUGAAAUUUUGUAAUUUCUACAGAAAAGUCUUAUAUGUCUUUUUUGUUAGAUUGAAUCACACAUAGUUAAUGUUUUGAUUCUCUUCUCAGUAUCUUUUACAUCAGUGUCUUUCUGUGUGUUGCUAUGUUUAGAAAUGACAUUUAGUUCUUCUGUGUUAAUUUCAACAACCAUAAUAAACUCUUAUUAAUCAUAUUUUUGUACCUUUUCUGGUAGUCUGUGGUGUUAAUCACUUGUAAAUAAUGGUAGUUGUAUUAUUUUCUUUCCAAUCCUUGUACUUUUAUUUCAUUUUUUUCCUUACUCAGCUGGCUAAGACCUUUAAUACCAUCCUGAAAAGAGGUAGUCUUGUCUUGUUCCUGAUAUUAAAGGAAAUAUCUUCAUUAUUUCACCAUUAAGAAUGAUAUUUUUGUUUGGUAGAUGGUUUAUGUUGGAUUAAGAAAUGUCCUUGUUAUUCCUAAUCUGCUAAUAUUUUUAUUUAUUUUUAUUUUUAAAUUUUAUUUUAUUUUAUUUUUGCUUUUUAGGGUCUCACCCCUGGCAUAAUGGAGGUUCCCAGGCUAGGGGUCCAAUCGGAGCCGUAGCCACCAGCCUAUGCCAGAGCUACAGAAAUGCAGAAUCUGAGCCGCGGCUGCAACCUACACCACAGCUCACGGCAACGCCGGAUCCUUAACCCACUGAGCAUAGGCAGGGACCGAACCUGCAACCUCAUGGUUCCUAGUCGGAUUCGUUAACCACUGUGCCACGACAGGAACUCCAACUCCUGCUAAUAUUUUUAAGUCAUGAAUGAAUGUUGAAUAUAUUGAAUGUUUUUACUGUAUUUAUGCAAACUACCAUAUUAUUUUUCUCCUUUAAUGUCUUAAUCGGAUUAAUUAUAUUCAUUAUUUUCUUCGUGUAGCCAGUUUUGCAGUUGAUAAGAUAAAUUCAACUUUGGUCAUCAAGUAUCCUUGUUUUUAUUUAUUUUAUUUUAUUUUAAAAUUCUUUGUUUGUUUUUGUCUUUUUAGGGCUGCAGCUGCGGCAUGUGGAAGUCCCAGGUCAAAUCUGAGCUGUAGCUGCUGGCCUGUGCCACAGCCAUAGCAACAUGGGAUCUGAGCCCCAUCUGCAACCUGCACCACAGCUCAUGGCAACGCUGGAUCCUUAACCCACUGAGCGGAGCCAGGGAUUGAACCUGAGUCCUCAUGGAUACUAGUUGGGUUCGUUAACUGCCGAGCCAUGCGGGGAACUCUGUAUCCUCGUUUUUAUAUACUACUGGAUUGUUUGCUAAUUUUUAAGGGCUUUUGCAUCCUUGUUUGCAGUGGCCUGUAAUGUUACUAUCAUACUCUCAGGUAUUGAUAUCUAGGUUUGGUAGCUUCUUAAUGUGAUUUAGGAAUUGUUUUUUUGUACUGUUGAAUAGUAUGGGUAAUAAGAGCACUAUCUAUAUUUUGAAUGUUUGGUAGAACUUGUUAAUAAAACUAAUUGUCACAGGUUGGGUUUCUCUGGGCAACAGACUCUGAAAUGGAGAUGAGCAUGCAGCCAAUUUGUCAGAGAGUGCUUUCUAAAUCAUCAUCUGCUGGGAGAAGAGAAGGGAGCAGGAUUGGGUAGAAGGAGAUGUUGGGCAGUAGUACUUACACCGUGGAGCAUUCUGAAGCUAAGAUGGCCCUUCGGAGGUGUCCCGGGUGGGGGCAAGGGGGCCAGGCCUUAAUAUUUCUGCAUUCACCAUGCCAGUCUUCCCCUACCCUUCGUGCUGCUUAUGUUUACUUGAUCCAUGUAAGUAAAUACAAAUUUACUGGGAUGGCUCCUCCAUCCCUCUGGUGGGUUUCUGGGUUUUUGGAAAACUUAAAUAAGGAAAGUUCAUAGAAUAAACCGCAGUCCCCAUUGCUGCAGCUAGUCUUGAGGCCAGAACUGAUACUCCUCUCCCUCUUCCAGUAUUCGUUCCUGUCCCUUCAGUCUCAGUUAGUGUCUUCUCUAGUCUAGGUGGCUUUUAGGGUAUGAUGGCCCAGACCCUUAUCCCUGAGUUACUGGCUACUUUUCAAAGGCUUUGGCUGCUUCAUUGGUCUGUUUACCACCAAAACUGGGCAAAAGUAACAAAAUAUGCCCACAUGGAUUUACUGGCCAGACCUAUUCCUUCUUGCCGCCAUUGGGUAACAGCAGCCCUGCCGUCUCCUGACGAGAGUCAAUUCCUCCUUUCAGGGUGGUGAUUUUUCUUCUUGCCUGAUAUCCCUUGACAUGAGGAGCCUGACCAGCAAACAUAGUUUAACCUUUAGUGGGACUUUUGCUGUGUGUCUCCUGUGUCCCUUGGUAGAAGUGUUUUGCAUAUGCGAGCCAGGUUCUCUAAAUCCACAGAGCCGCAACUUCUAGGGAUAGGAAGCAUAAAUUCCCAAGUGGGUCCCUGGAAGUAAUGGUUAAUGGAGCCACUGUUGCUUCCUCUUCUUGGUUCCUAAAACCGUGUGUCUUACCUACCGAGGACGUAAUACCAUAUAAUGAUUGUUGAUAUUUUGUAUAUGUAUUGUGUCCUAGAGAUGGCAUCCUAGCCUCACAGGGUGUCACCUCUGAGCUAGUGCCUUAUUUGUACCUUGUUCUAUCACUGUUAGACUGAAAGCUUUUGAGUAGUACGGUGUGUGAUAUAACCAAACAAUCCUAUGGUUAUAUGCUAAUACCACAUAUCCUUUGCUAUAAAGUGGGUUUCUCAGUCUGGUCCCAUGUUAUGUGGGCUGCCAUUUUGGUGGAUUAAACACUCUCCUGGCUGAAGCCUUCCUGGCAGGAAAGGUAAAUCCAUACCUGAACAUGUGUGACCUCUGCCAAAGCCACCUCAGAGUAGAAGAAGUCUAGUACAUUCAACUUGCAGCAAAUAACUGUUUGGUCUCCUUAAAGGGUGAUGGUCUACUGGGACCUCAGUAUUGUUCUCUGUUGCUGUCGGGUUGGAUAUUUGACCGUGGACGGUAACAAUAUCAGCCUUGGUGAAUGGGAGAUCAUGCUUUUGGGUCCACAUAUAGCCCCGGUCUUUGUUGUCAUGGCUACUCUGCUCAUGUGUGUAUUGUGCCAGCACUGGGGAGGCCAGUCACAAAGACUAGCUGAAGAUAGAAGUCUGUUUUGCAAUUCCCCGGGACAGUGAUUCACUAGGACUCACAGGAGUCAGCAUAUAAAUUGUGCUCAUGUUUUUAAAGUGUACAAAGCAUGAUCAACAAAGGGAAAAGUAUAAUGGGCAAAGCCUAGGGAUAACCAGGUACACACUUCUAAGAGUCCUCUUCCAGUGGCAUCACAGUGGACAUGCUUACUCCCCUAGCAACAAGGUGUGUCAACGUGGGUAAAAAUAUCUGCUGUGGAGGCUUAUUAGAAACUCAGUGCCCAGGGUUUCUGUUGGAGGCUCUUCACCUGUACACCCUCUGCCUAGCGUGUACCAAAUUCCAGAGUCCUGGAAGGAAGGCAGAUGUUCAGUGUAAACCACAUCGUUUGCGCAGUUUAGACACACUGAGCUACUCUUUAUCAGGGUAAUAAGAACUCUCCUAAGGCCCAUGUUCCCAGGAGUCUACGGAUUUUAACUUCCUGACACAUCUCCUUCCACACAAAGGAGACGAGCAAAUGCUUUGUCCAAACUCUAGCUAUUGGGGAGUUCCCUUGUGGUACAGUGGAUUGAGGAUCUGGCAUUGUCACUGCAGUGGCUUGGGUUACUGCUGUGGUGUGGGUUCAGUUCCUAGUCUAGGAAGUUCCACAUUCUGUGGGUGUGGCCAAAACAAACAAAGUCUGGCUACUGGGAAGACUUUGUAUCACUGUUAUCUUUCGAAGCCACACCUGAGUGGGGCUGUAUUGUAGCCAUGGUCCAUUUUCAGCUUCAACAGUGUCCAGCAUUUUUGAACUGUUGGCAUUCCUCUUUCUCAGUACAUGAUUGCUUGACUAAAUGACCUUAGGUCUUUUUCCAGAAGAUCAUUACAAUGUUUACUUGCUCUGGUGGUAUAGGUCCUUCUUCUUUUAGCUUUAUCUCGUAAUCUCAUAUUUUUUUUUUUUGGUAUAUUUGCCUGUAGAUAUUUCUCAUUUCUCAUAUUACUUUUCUGAAUUAUUUAUGAGUGUUCCUGAAUUUCCAAACCCAGAAGGUUUUUCUAACUUUUCUUUUUGAUGAUUGAUUUGAACUUGUUUUGUGGUUGGAGAUGGUCUGCUGAUACCAGUUACUUGAGAUCUGUUGAGCAUGAUUUUAUGCCCACUAAUGUAAGUCACUUUUUUUUGUUUUGUUUUGUUUUUGUUUUUGUUUUGCUGUACUUGCAGCUCAUGGACGUUCCCAGGCUAGGGGUCUAAUCAGAGCUAUAGCUGCUGGCCUACGCCACAGCCACAGCAACACCAGAUCUGAGCUGCAUCUGUGACCUACACCACAGCUCACAGCAACACCAGAUCCUCAACCCUCAACCCAGGGAUCAAACCUCAACCUCGUGGUUCCCAGUGGGAUUCGUUUCUGCUGUGCCACGAUGGGAACUCCACUUUUUUUUUUUUUAACAGCUGCGCAUGAGGCAUAUGGAAGUUCCCCGGCUAGGGGUCAAAUUGGAUCUGCAGCUGCCAGCCUAUGCCACAACCACAGCAACACGAGAUCUGAGCUGCAUCUGCUACCUGCGCUGCAGCUGUAGCAACGCUGGAUCCUUAAGCCUCUGAGCAAGGACAGGCAUUGAACCCACAUCCUCAUGGAUACUAGUUGGGUUGUUAACCCACUGAGCCACAAUGGGAACUCCUGUAAGUCACUUUUUGUAAAUAUUACCUGUGACCCUGGAAAAGAUGCUGGAACAACUGCUGCCAUUGGUUGCAGAAUUCUAAAAAUAUCCAUUAGGUCAAGCCUGUUGUGUUAAAAUCUCUAUCUUUGUUUUUGUUUGCCUGGUCUGUCAAUUAGGCAAAGAUACAUUAGUGUCUUCCCCUAUGUGAAUAGAUUGCUUACUUUCUCUUGUAGUUUUUAUAAAUAUUCCUUUAUAUAUUUUGAGGUUAUGUUUUUAGAUUCAUACAAGAAUUGUUAUUUUUUCCUAUUGACUUAAACCAUUUGUCAUUUGUGAUUCUGUCUCUAGUGAACUCUUCCCACUGCUUUUUUUGUAUGGGUAUACCAGUUCCAUUUGGUUAGUAUUUGCCUAGUAUAUAUGCAGCUUCAUUAUUUUUUGAGACAUAGAUCCCUCCUGCCCCUGUUUUUCCUCUUUGGGUUUCAUUGGGCUUCCUGAGUCUAGAGUAGUGUCUUUCAUUAGUUCUGGAAAACUCUCAGCUACUUUCUUUUCAGAUAUCGCUUCUGUACCUUUUAUUUUUCUUUGUUCUUUGAAAUUCUGGAUAAACUUGUUAAAAUAUUCUAGUUUAUCCUCAGGGAGUUCCUGUCGUGGCGCAGUGGUUAAUGAAUCCGACUAGGAACCAUGAGAUUGCGGGUUCGAUCCCUGGCCUUGCUCAGUGGGUUAACAAUCUGGUGUUGCUGUGAGCUGUGGUGUAGGUUGCAGACGUGGCUCGGAUCUCGAGUUGCUGUGGCUCUGGCAUAGGCUGGCAACUACAGCUCUGUUUAGACCCCUAGCCUGGGAACCUCCCAUAUGCCGGGGGAGGGGCCCUAGAAAAGGCAAAAAAACCAAAAAAAAAAAAAAAAAA
rnacentral:lncRNA from 1 species